rnacentral:rRNA from 1 species
UAGGGAAUCUUCCACAAUGGACGAAAGUCUGAUGGAGCAACGCCGCGUGAGUGAUGAAGGGUUUCGGCUCGUAAAACUCUGUUGUUGGAGAAGAACAGGUGUGAGAGUAACUGUUCACAUCUUGACGGUAUCCAACCAGAAAGCCACGGCUAACUACGUGCCAGCAGCCGCGGUAAUACGUAGGUGGCAAGCGUUGUCCGGAUUUAUUGGGCGUAAAGCGAGCGCAGGCGGUUUCUUAGGUCUGAUGUGAAAGCCUUCGGCUUAACCGGAGAAGUGCAUCGGAAACCAGGAGACUUGAGUGCAGAAGAGGACAGUGGAACUCCAUGUGUAGCGGUGAAAUGCGUAGAUAUAUGGAAGAACACCAGUGGCGAAGGCGGCUGUCUGGUCUGUAACUGACGCUGAGGCUCGAAAGCAUGGGUAGCGAACAGGAUUAGAUACCCUGGUAGU